CCGCCGUUCUUCUCCUCCUCAUCCCCAUCUUCCACGGGGCGCUCAAUUAUCUUCAACCUUGAAUCAGGCUCAUGCUGUGCUUCCUGCGCCAUGAAUCGAGGGAAUCGAUCGACCAGGAGGGAGAAAAUCAGAUUUAGGGUUUGGGACACCUUUUUUGUACCAAAUUGAAGUAUACUGCCCGGAAUUCCAUUGGGCAAACUCAUGAGCACGGCGGAGGAAGAUGGCUGUUCACGGUGCGACCUGUGCGAUACAAAGGUCAUACACAGCAUGACAGAACUCCUGCUUCGUGGAUUGGCCGCAGCUUCGGUGGACAGCACCACUGGCGAUAUAUUCAAGAGCGCAUCUUCUGUAGCUGUCGCUGUGAAGACCGAGCUAGAAAAUUACCUGCUUGUGAGAACUGAAGCACUUAUUCGUGAAUCUGUGGAUGGAGGGGAAGAUCAUUCGGAUAAAUUAAUCAAGGCCUCCACCAGGCCGACCGAGUUCCUGUCGGACUUGAUCAAUGACUUUGUUGCUUCCAAAAGGAACGUGCUGAGCCACGUGUCUGGAUUUUUGUCGAGUGAAAGUCGAGUGAAUAAAAUUAACGAUUUUAUGCAAAAGAUGGAGAUGGAGAAUGUGUGGGCACUGGACGUAAGGAAGGCUUCUGCAGAGACUAUUCUUGAGAGCAUAGACAUAAAAUGCAUUUUUCAUUGCCCUGAGAGAUUUGUUGAGCAGGAUAAGCUAGCUGACCACAGAAGUCAGUGCAAAUUUAGGGUCGUGAACUGCAAAAACGAUGGGUGUUCAGCUUCAUUUUCUGCUAUUCAUAUUGAGGAGCAUGACUCCAUCUGUCCGUUUAAGCCCCUGCCAUGUGAUCAGCUGUGCGACCAACAUGUUAUGCGUUGUGAGAUGGACAAACAUUGUGCAACAGUUUGCCCUAUGAAGCUUAUUAAUUGCCCUUUUUACCAAGUUGGAUGUGAAACAGCCUUUCCACAGGGUAAUCUUGAUGAUCAUUGUUCAAAGUUGCUUCAAACCCAUAUGUUGUAUGUUCUCCAAGCAACUACAAGACAGAAUGCUACUGUUUAUGAUAUGAAUCAACGGUUACAACUCCUUGAGAAGGCUCAGUCACUUAACGAAAUGUCUGGGGCUUUAGAUGUCAGGUCCCUCACUCUGAUAAUAAAGGAGCAAGAAGCAAAGAUCAAAAAACUAGAGCGAGAUAUCAAAACACAAGACGCAAAGAUGAAGAGGCUUGAGAAUGAGUUUAGGUCAAGGAAUGCAUGAUAGCUGCUGUAAUUCUAUAUGCAUUAGACAAACCAGUUAUAUGUCAAUGCAGGGUAGAUCUUGUACUCGAAGAUGCUAGGAUGGUAUUGGUCUAAAAAAAUGGUCAUUUAGCUGCCGUGGUUGCAUUCUGUGCUGGUACGUGUGAUUCCUCACUCACUACAUCUUGCUGGAACUAUUGUUGUGCACUUGUGCUUCUAGCAUCCUAAGCUGCUCUUUACAGUGGAAGUUCUCUGACUUGUCUUGCCAAUCCCUUGGGUUAGCAAAUAUGUUUAGUUGACAAUUUUACAUUGCAUGAUGCAGCUCCCAGUUGAUUUAGGCAUUGAAGAAAGUUGUGAUUUAAAAUUGCACUUGCAUUACAUUUCAACAAAGUAAAAAAAACAAUUGUUUUCCUGUUCCUAUCUCAUUUGAUAAGCAUCCACCUUGUCACAAUUAUAUACUGUUUCUCAAUUAUUGGAAAAUUGUCACGAAUAAUUAGUAUAACAUUUCUAGAACAUUCCACAAACAUUUAAUUGCAGAGUAUAGCUCACAUAUUUUCCCCAGGUUAUUUUGUACACAGGAAUUUCCAGUUUUAAUAUAGCUUAUGUGUUAAAAAAACCGACUGACCCAAUUAAAAAAAGGGGAAACUGACUGACAUACUGCCAGGAACUGAUUGAUAUCAAUGAAUGAGAGAUUUCUGAUCUCUGUAUUCUUUUCUGAGAACCUUACUUUAUAUGAACUAGUUAAAAUCUAUUAACUUGCACCAAGUACUGCUGUAAGUCAAUUUGCACCAGUCCUUCAGAAGUUUGGACUUCCAUUUCUCUUUUGAAGUUUGUAUCUGUAAAAUGUAGUACAUACAAAUAUACCUAUUUUGUUCGAAAUGAAACAAUAAACUAGGUCACUACUAUGAUUAAUUUGUUAAUGUACUGAAUGGUGCAUCAUACUGAUUUGCUACUUUGAAGGAAUAUUCCAUGAUCUGAAGCCUCUUGUUUGUGUGGAUGCAAUUCCAUUGGUGGCUUUCCACCACAGCUUUUUUGGAUGCCUCCGCAACUUCAUCGUUGGCUUGGCUGUUUUCCAGCUUUGGGAUGUGAUCACAAGCACCCUGUAAAAUCUUGCAAACUUGUUUGCACUGCACUUGUAUAUGUGCAUGGCACUCUGUAUGUGAUUUUCAUAUGCAUGUUUUCACGGUGAAGAUGCCAUCACAAUCUCGUCACUGUCGUGGCUAUUUGACUCAGAUUUGAGGAAAUAAUCACAAGCAGCCUCCAAAAUCUUGCAAACUUCUCUCCUGUACUGCACCGGCAUACCAGAUCAUGUCAAGAAGAAACUAUCAAAUGGUGUUUUCUGAAAAGACCAGUACUGGUUUCUUUAUUUAAUCUUACACAAUUUUAACAAUCAUCGUAACUAGAUGGUUGUGUGGUGUGGAGAAACUUUGAGUCAUCAUAUUCCUAUCAGAUUCCUAAUUUGACAGAGAAAUUAGAAUUCAAGAAUCUAAAUUAUUGUCCUUCCAUUUUCUUGUUUUACGGAGCUGUGAAAUAUCAGUGAACCCUCAUGUUGCCGGUACAUAUUCUUUAGCUAGGAGACCAUAUCAAGGGUGGUGUUGCGUACCUCAUCAGUUGCACCAGAUUUUAUUCUGGACUGUAAUAUGCACCAUUUCUUCAUGUUUACCCCUAUGUGCACAAAAAUAAUGCAUAUUAUCGGAUAUAUGUUCUGCUGAAUAGAUUUUAUGGAAGUACAGUUCAACUAACCGAUCUUUAUAUUUACUUGACAUGUUGAACUGGAGGUUGUUCUUAGUGACCACCUGCAGUGGAUCUGUAAGAAAGGGAAGAACUUCUGCUAGAUAAGUCAUAUCAGAAUUAUGAAAUGGAUUAUACAUCAGAGGAAUUGGCCAAACAAAGUGGGAUGCUCACACUGGUUACAUCUGCAAGAACACGUUCGUUGAUGAAAGGCUGCAAUGUUGACUUUUCAAUGUUUUUUUGUGGUGUCUUUGUGCUGUCUGUCUUGCUACCGAGUAUGCUGUUACUUUCUUUUUGUAGAAGUACAUGUGCUCUCACCUGCUUGUGAGAUAACAAGCAUAACAUCAUGUUAUUUCCACAAGACAAAACGGAAAGAUAUGGGAUAAAACUGCAACACUUUCUAAA